GCCUAUAAAAAGGCUUUCUCAAUUUUUGAUAUACUUAGGUUCUGAGAAGGGAUAAGUUAAGUUGAAAUAGCUGAACAAUGCUUUCUGAGUAAAGUCUUAUUUUUUUAAACUCCUA
ensembl:ncRNA B0495.17 ncRNA